GCCGUUGUAUAACCCCUCGUCUUCCCCCAGAUCCAAAUCAUGCAGGAAUAGGCACCCGGCGGUUACCAGGCAUCGGUGAGUCCCCUCCAUCUCCUUCCUCCCCUACUCCCCGCCCAUCUGUUCUCGGCGAUCGACAGCGACCGUUCCCUGCGCGACCAGCAGCCCACCCCUGCGCGUCUGUCCCGUGCCCCGGCGCGGCGUCCCUGCAGCCCCAGCGCGGCGCAGCCAGCCAUGCUCGCGCCCCAGCCCCUGCUCCCUCAGCGCGUCCAACCUCCCUGCCUUGCCCCUUCCGCGAGCUCGGCGCAGCCAGCCAGCGGCUCGCCCAGCGCGGCAGCGAGCUCGCGCAGCAGCGAGCGCGUGGCCCGGCGGCCUGCGACGCGUUGCCAGCGCGCGACUGUCGCGGACAGCCCCGGCGGCCAGUGCCCCGACGAACUCCACUCCCGGCCGUCUGAGCCCCGCCGCUGCCCAGCCCUAGCGCGCGGCCUGGAGUCCCUGGGCGCUGCCGAACUCGCCCCUGCCCAGGUGUUUUUGGGGCGCGGAGCCCGCUCGAGCGCCCCCUCCCUGCGCGAGCUCGCUUCUCCUCCAUAGCAAUGGCCGAUCCCCUCUCCUCCCCCAUGGUCGUUCUCUGUUUUUUUCCCAAGGAAGAAGAAAACCACCGCACCGUGCCACCAGGAAAAGGAAACGGCCCUUAGGGCCCACCUUGUAUGCGAUUUACUGCCCACGUUUUUUCCUUGCCGUGGGUUUGGAAAAAAGACCAACUGGGCCCCACUACAUGCACCGCAUGCCAGGACAUUGCAUGCUGCACGAUUGUACCAUCCCAUGGAUUUUCUGCGGCCGUGAUCUCUAUGAUCCUCCGCGUGGCAACCUAUCGACCAAUCAAAUUGCACCACAUUAUUUUUAAUCCACGACUUAUUAAAUAUGCGUUAUCUUUUCACGUCCAAUUUAUUCCAUUCCAGUCGUGUUAUUUUCCCAAUAAAGUCGUGUACACGUUAAGAAUAUAAUUUUGGUCGUAGCGCAUGUUUCAGUUAAUUAAUUAUUUAAUGGUUGGUCUGAUGGUUAUUAAAAUAGCAAUUUAAUUUAUAGUUUUAAGUUGCACUUUUAUAAAUAUAUGUUAACGUCAUUAAUACCAACUUAAACACUUUUCAUUUAAUACUUAUUUAUUAUAAACACGUUAUUUGUUAGCGAUUAUCGCGUUGUCGCGCGUCGUUCGCGCGUGCUGUUCCGCGUGCGGUAUCGUGCUGGUUCGCGCGUAAUUCGCUCUAGUUGCUCAUACUGUCUGGUGCGCUGUUUCGCGCGCGUCGUUUGGGCGAGUCGUUCGCGCGCUGUUCGCGUGGCACGUUUAAGUCAGCGCGUGCCGUUCGCACGCAUCGUGCGUGUCGUUCACACGUGUCGACGUGCGCUGUCGCGUACGCCGUUCCGCGCACCUUGUUUAGUGUGUUGCGUGUCAUGUCGCGCGACAAUAAACUAUUUCGUCUAGAAUCGUUCACGUUAAUUAAUCUACGUAAUUAAACGAUGAUUAACUGAGUAGUAAAUCAAUCAGAACUAAGUGUUAAUUCUAUCGGUGCAUGCGAUGAAUACCUCUAAUUGUGGUUAUGUCAACUUAAGUGUUGCAUUUAAUUUAUGUGUAGAAUAAAUACGACACGGUUUAGUAGUAGUUCGCGCGUCGCGCCGUUUUCGCGGGUCGCGUGCUGUUUGCGUGACGCGCACGCUGUCCCCACAUGUGGCGCUCGUUAUUGUCGGGUCGUAUGUUUUAGUUGUAUAAUUAAUUAUUGGUUUAUUCUAGGGUUAAUAAAAUAACAAUUUAUUUAGAACGAGUAUAUAGUUUUAACUCGUGCUUUUAUAACUAUAAAUAUUAGUUAACUUGAUUAACACCAGCUUAAAUGCUUUUAACUAAUUAUUUAUUUGUUCGUUGUUGGCGCACGACAUCGUUUGCGCGUCAUCGUGCUAUUUACGCGCAUAGUCGCGUUGACUCGUGCGUGUCGCGCACGGUCGUGCGCGUUGUUUUGCGGAUGUCGCGCGUGCCAUUCACACGCGUUGCCGCACGCCGUGCGCGUGCCGCAAUGUUGUUUCGUGUGUCGUGUGGCGUCUACGUGUGAUAAUAAAUUAUUUUCGCUUAUAAACACUCAUGUUAUAAGAUUAAUUCGUCAGGUCAUAUAUUUUAGAUAAUCAACCUAAGGUUUGCUCGACUAAUAUUUAUUAGAUUAAUAUCUCAGUUAGAUUAAAUAUGUAAUGUUCAAUUUGCGCUUUUAUAAUAAAUAUUAACAUGGUAAAUAUUAACUUAACUACUUUCUAUUUAUUUAAUAUUUGUUUAGUAUAAACGUGUCACUUAUUUAGUUUUCCUCGUCUGUCGCGCGUGCUGUUCCGCACGUGAUGGCGUGCUCGUUCGCGCUGUUUCGUGUGUCGUCAGCGUGCGAUGUCGCGCCUGUCCGCGCGUCGUUCGCACGUUGUCAUGCUGUUUCGUGCAUCGUCAAUUCGCAUCGCUGAGAAUCUCUUGUGUUAAUUAAAUUACUUAUUUAUUUGACAGCUGUUAGCGUAACAGAUUUAAUCAGAACUAAAUAGCAGUUAUAAUUUAUAUUUGAUAAUAUCGAAUUAAAUGUUUUACUUAAUGUUUAUUUAGCGUAAACGCGAUAUCUUCCAGAUCGACGCUUCGAGUUCGACACUUCUUUUUCCUCGCGUGACUGUAGUAACGCGCUCUAUUUCGUUUUGCAUGUUUUAUUAUGUUUGUAUUUGUAUGAUGUAAUGUUCUUAUGCAUAUAUGUGUUUGCUUGCUUGUGUCUGUUCGUCUUCGCUCCGCGUUGCGAUUAGAAUGUGAUCCAUCUCCAAGUUUCGAGGGAUCGAAGAUCAAGCUUCGACGACCAAGUGAUCUGGCUCUUCGAGUUCCACGAAGUUGAAGACCCUGAACAUCUGUUUGGCGAAGGCAAGUGUCCUCUGACCCAUUAUGUCCCAUUUACUUUAUAAUACACUGUCCCGCAUACUAUGAACAACCUAAGGAUUUACUAGCUUUCUAUUUACCUUGUCCUUGAUUUACCUUUUGGGUUACUAUGGUUAGCUUCAUGCUAGCGCUUUAUUUUAAUCAAUGAACAUGAUGAGAUACAAUGAUGAUACUAUGAUUUUACUCUGGAUAUGAUGAUAUACUUGUGGCAUUUAGGGGACUCGAGCGGUUUCUCGAGUGCCUCUCCGUAAGGACCUGUUCGUUGGAUGACCGCCCGGGAAAACAGUGCAACCAUGAGGGUGAAAUGGGGGGCCCUUAGCUAAUUAAUUAGAGGAACUAGAGGUGUAGUUGCUUCGCCGUCGUGCCAUCAAUGGGGUCCAGGCACAGUGCUUGCUCUGCCGAGGCUAGGUGCCGAGGUUCUUUCGUUUUGCUUUUGUUAGUCACCCCCCUUCGGGGAGAGGUACUGUGUUUAUCAAACUGGAGAAACCUAACGGGCGGCUAGUACCUCUAGGGAAUCUUUGUAAAAGCUACGUAGUGAUACCCUGCCGGACCACCUAGGAAGUGAUCAAUGGGGAGUCAUGAUCCCCGGGCAAAACGGGAAUCACGACUCAUGGGUAAAGUGUGCGACCUCUGUAGAGGGUAAUGAAACUGAUAUAUCAGCCAUGCUCGCGGUUAAGAGCAGCCUUGGGAUCCUCUUUGAUUAGAGAUACUCCGGACGCACCUCAGAUGAUGACUUUAAUGAUGAUGGUUAAUGAUGGUGACUUUAAUUAUGUAUUCUAGUAUUUCCUCUCUAAGGAGGUACCUUUUGGGAUUAUAACUUGGGUUUUAUGAUAAAAUCUGGCUUCUACUAACAAUAAAUAUCUGACCAACUAAAAGCAACUGCUUGAGCCUAACCCCACAUAAAAGCUAGUCCACUUCAGCCAAACGGGGCAUUUGCUGAGUACGUUGAUGUGUACUCAUCCUUGCUUUACCACAAAACACCAGGUUGUCCACAUUGCAACCACUGCUCAGGAGAAGAUGAAGCCUACUCAGGAGUUCCAAGACUACGACGAGUUCUAGGUGUGGGUUGGCGGAAACCCCCAGUCAGCUGCCUGUGAAGGCCCUAUCUUUACUGCGUUCCGCUUAGCACUUUGAUUUACCCGUUGAGUUGAUGACUAUGUGGAUGUCUUUGACAUCGUGAUGUAAUAAGUUAAUACUCUUUUAUGUUAUUAUUCGAGCACUAUGCGAUGAUGUUCAUUUAUGUAAUCGCUGUGUACGUGAGUUCUGAUCCUGGCACGUACAUAGUUCGCAUUCGGUUUGCCUUCUGAAACCGGGUGUGACACCACGGGAUUUCCACCUCUCUCACGCCCAUCUCCGGCCACCUCUAUUCCCCCCUUCGCGCUCGGCCUCGCGCCGACCCAUCUGGGCUGGGGCACGCGGCGACAUUUCACUCAUCGGCUUAGGGACCCCCCGGUCUCGAAACGCCGACAGUUGGCGCGCCAGGUAGGGGCCUGUUGCGUGUUGAUGAACAGCUUCCCGUCAAGCUCCAGAUGGGCAGUCUCCAGCAACCUCUCCGACCCAGGACGGUGCUCCGUUUCGGGAGCCUUGAGUUCAUGUCCCUCGACGGCGGCUACGACAUGAUACUCCUUCCACCGCCGGACGACCACGACAAUGGCGGCAGACAGCCCGCCCGCCGGCGGCAGAAUCGACGACGUCUUCCCCGCGUGGUGGAAGAACAACAUUCGAGCUCGCCCCGUCCUCUCCCCCGCCAACGGAGGAGGAGGCGGGGCAACCAAGGCCGAGCGGGAGGCAGCGCCUCGUCGGCUGUCGAGCGAGUCGACGGCCCCAGCGCCCCAACGGGGGGCGCGUCGGGCAUCGACCUCGCGUUUGAGACGAAGGCGAGCGCCGUCUCCCCGCGACACGCCAACUCUGUAACACCCGGUUUUAAGGAACAAAGCCGGGUGCAUCUCAUACAUGCGCCAAGAAGACAACAUAUAUAAUAACAGAGUGUAUAGAGAUAAAUGUCAUAAAACAUCAGAGUAUUUAUUACAUAGCGGAAGACUUAUUACAAAAUAAAGAUAAAUAUAAAACGAACUAAGGAUCGUCGGCGCCAAUGUCGACUGAGAAACGCCACCUAGAUCAGAUCAAACUCCUCGAUACUUGACUCUACUUGAACCACCUGUUCUUCUCCUGUGGGGGGGUGUGAGACAGCAAGAGUGAGCUCACAUACGUUCAUAGCUCAACAAGUCGUGGGGAAUAAUGUGGCAUGAACUCACCAAAGGUGGCAGUUCAUGAAGUGUAAGGCUGAUCAAUGGAAUAAAGGCUGAGGCUGAGCAUUGCUUUUAUAAGUUGGUCAAAAUUUUAUUAGCAGUUACUAAGUGUAAGUAAAUACCAAACCUUAAUAAUAAUAAAGAACAGUAAUAGUAAAAUAAUCCCAAAUGCGAUGCAGAUGUCAAAUUAGAUUUAAGUUCCAUAAUUAAUCAUGUGAGGGUCCGAGCCGCUCAUGACCGUGAGCACGGCUAGUAUACCAGUUUUACACUCUGCAGAGGUUGCGCAUCUUUACCCACAAGUCAUGUUACCCAUCUGCCAAGAGAUGGCCAAUCCCAUACACCUCUACCGAGGAGGCGAGGCAGGGUAACACUACGAGACCUUUAUAAAGUUCCACUAGCUUCAGAAAUCCCGCUACAGUUUAUAGGAAGCUCCAGUGCAGGGUUCUUGCCUGACCGCCAUCGCAGCAAAAUCAACCAAGGACCUCCCUACACUGACCACUCCCCUACUGCCCUUGCCCCUUUCGGGUAAGGAAGACCUCCACUAGCUUUCCUAGUUAAUCAGCCAAGGGCGUCCCAUUAUACCCUUGUGGUAGCACUGUUUUCCCGGGUGGUCGCUCCAUGUUCCCAUUAAUUUAAUGAUCUUAACAUGAACAGUAAUAAUAACAAGAUAAUAACAGGAUAAUCAUGUGUAGUAUAACUCCAUACCCAAUCCACAUAAAGCAAUAGCAAGUACUACCCAAAAAUAUUUCAGGGGUGAACAAGGUAUAGAGGUAAUCAAAACUGGGGUAACAUAAAGGCUCCCAUCAAAAUUAACCUAUGCAGAUCAUUAAAAUUAAUAAGAACAUGGCUGGGAAAAGUAAGUGAUCAAGGGCACAACUUGCCUGGCACUUGAGAUUCCAGUUACCAACUUGCUUUUCACAUGACACGUGCCUCGCGCUAGUCAUAGCAAUACAAACAAACAUGGUAUAGAUAAAAUUAACAUCACACCAAACAUAAGUACAAACUGAAUAAUAAUGAUCUUCGCGUUUCUAUGAGACUAACACAACUUGAACGGAUCAAAUCGGAGUUAAAACGAAGGAGUUAUGAAUUUCUAAUGAUUUUAUGUGUUUUGUACAAGAUUAGAUUAGAAAAUAGAUUUUAAAGUGGCUUUCAUGUCAAAUCAGAGGUACUAUGUGAUAAACAAUAAUAUUAUAGAAUUAUAGAAAUUGGAACGGGCUCAUUUGGACUUAAUAUGAAUUUUCUAUGGAUUUAACAAGAUUUUGGAAUUGUUUUUAUAUAAGAAAUUCAUUUUAUAACUCAUUUUCUCUGAUUUCCCAUUUCCCUGGACUGCUCCUCAAAUAACAGUUAAGACAAGGACCCCUGCGCAAGAAUUUUCGUGACUCAGUGCCCACAGCGCAGGACUGCGGGUUGAUUUGUGAUUUCUUCGGGGUCUCUUUAGAAAAAUUGACCUGCGAAGGGGUAUGGGAUGGAUCUGGCCGUUGGAUGAGGAAGGAAUGGCUCCGAUUAGAUCUAGGUUUUCCAUACUGGAACUGAAUCUCAGCCGUCUGGUCAAAAUCCCACGGUUGAAGAUUCCCCAAACUAGCGCUGUACUGCCCGUCGUUCGAUCCAGAUGGACGGCUACGAUCAAAUCAAACGGAAGGGGACGCGCACUUUCUAAUCUCGUACGUUGAACUAGGAUCCAACGGCCCACGCGAAAUCCCAGCCCAAUCCGUAGAGCGCGGCGGCGCCGCCACCGCCCAUGGUGGCGAGUUCACCGGAAUCUCCCGGAACCACGCAUGGGCGCCCUAGAACUAAGGAUUUCCAUCGCACGGGCAACCCCAAGCCACCACGGACAUAAUGAAGGCAGUCACAUCGCGGAUAAUACCCCGGCAUGCCCUGCCCCCGACCCAACGCGACACCGCGGCGGAGCAUAGAUUCCGGUGAGUAAUUCCAGGGGUUCUUGUAAGCUAACUUCAAUUCAAGUUGGUGCAACACGAUGGGGGUAUGAAGUACAAGCGAGGGAUAGGAUGUUUACCACGGUUUUCGCUGCGCCAAGCUUUGGCCACGGUGAGGUGUGGCCACGGUGGCUGCCCAACCCGGUGAGGAAUCCUCGGUUGAUUCGAGCUUCGCUUUAUGCCGCGGCGAUGCCUAUUUUGUCCACGAGGAUGCCACGAAAGUGGUAGGGCAGUCGCACGCCCCCAAUUUGCCACGUCGGUGAAGAACGGCUGCAACAGAACUCCCUUUCUCCCACCCCCUUACGGCAAUGGCGCGCCCGACCCUCGGAUCGCGAGUGUGGCGAGUAUGGUGGGGAGUUCGCGGGUGGAUGAGAGGGGCAAGGAGGGGCGGCUCAAAUACCCACGGACGUGGCCCCGUAAGCAGUUUUCCCCUCCCGAUCCAUCAGCGCGAAGAUCCCGGCGAGGUUGUUAGCAGCGCGCGCGAGCUGACCGCGGAGGGGAUAACCCUGACACCAGGGCCCCACAUGGAAGUCACCCGGCGUGCGUGGGGAUGAAAAGGAGGCCGACCAGGCGGCCCACAGGUCAGCCGGUUGGCACGAGGUUAAGGGGAAAUGGGCCAAAUGUGCAGACUGAGGCCCAAAUAGGUAUUCUUUCUUUUAUCUUUUCUUUUCUUCCCUUUUCUUUCUUAUUUUUGAAUCUAAGUUUGAAUUUCAAAUUUGUGAUGAACUUGUACUCAAAUUUUCUGAGUAUUUGAUUUGGAUAAAUCAUUGUGGAAUAAAUUUGUCUAUUUAUAAGUUUUAUUUUUGUAUUGCAUAGUAUUUUUCUUUCUUUCUUUCCAAAUUUUAGAAUUUCUUUUAGGAUUUAAUUUCCCAUUUGGAUAUUUAACAUUUUUCACAUUAUUAUAUGUUGUCACAAAAUGCACACAGAAUAAAAUCGAGCAUGAUGCAUAAUUUGGUAGUAUAUGUUUGUAUUAACUGUUUUUGGGCAUGAUGUUCACAUAAGAUGAUGCAUAAAGAUCAAACUCACAUAAAGAGAAAUUGUUCCUCUACUGGUAUUAUUCCUAGCAAUUACAAAGUGGGUGUUACAAAUCCUACCCCCCUUAAAAAUAAUCUCGUCCUCGAGAUUAAGAAGAUCUAGGGAAAAGGUGGGGAAAAUCUAUACGAAGCUCUUCUUCUCUUUCCAAGUCGCUUCAUCUUCACCAUGGUGACUCCAUUGGACUUUGCACAUCUUUAUCACCUUAUUUCUUGUAACUCGAGUCAAGAUAUCCAAAAUCUUAAUCGGGUACUCCGUGUAAGUCAAAUCACCUUGAAUACUGAGCUCUUCCAUUGGUAAUUGUUCCUCGGGAACUCGGAGACACUUCUUCAGUUGAGAUACGUGGAACACAUUAUGCACAUCCGAUAGACUAUCCGGUAACUCGAGUUGGUAUGCCAUCUCCCCAACUCGCCUAAAAAUCAAGAAUGGUCCAAUAUAGCGAGGGGAUAAUUUGCCCUUAACUUUGAAUCUCCUCAUUCCACGCAGUGGUGACACCUUGAGAUACACAUAAUCUCCUUCUUCAAAUUCCAGUGGUCUUCUUCUAUUAUCAGCAUAGCUCCUUUGCCUGGUCUGAGCUACCCUCAAAUUAUCGCGAACUAUAUGGACUUGUUCUUCUGCCUCUCGAAUAAGUUCAGGCCCAAAGAAUUGUCUUCCUCCAGUCUGAUCCCAAUAUAGAGGAGUCCUGCACUUUCUCCCAUAUAAAGCUUCAAAAGGUGACAUCUUCAGACUGGCCUGAUAGCUAUUAUUGUAUGAGAAUUCAGCAUAAGGUAGACUUUUAUCCCAGCUACUACCAUGCUGAAGGGUACAAGCUCUCAACAUGUCUUCCAAUACUUGAUUAGUCCUUUCAGUCUGUCCAUCAGUCUAAGGGUGAUAGGUUGUACUAAAAGUCAACUUCGUAUCCAUAUUCUCAUGGAAACUUUUCCAAAAUCUAGGGGUAUCUGUGAACCUCUAUCCAAAAUGAUCUUCGGUACACCGUGUAGGGACGUAAUCCGAGCCAUAUAAAACUCUGCCAAUUGAGAUACCUUAUAAGUAGUCUUGACUGGAAUGAAUUGAGCCACUUUGGUCAGUCUAUCCACAAUCACCCAUAUAGAGUCAUAUCCUUUCUAGGUGCGAGGCAAUCCAGUAAUGAAAUCCAUACCAAUCUCUUCUCACGCCCACUCGGGUAUCUUUAGUGGGUGUAAUAGUCCAGCUAGUCUUUGGUGUUCGACCUUAACUCUUUGACACACAUCGCACAUAGCCACAUGUGUAGCCAUAUCUCUCUUCAGUCCAUACCACCAGUAUUUCUGCUUCGAAUCCUGAUACAUCUUGGUACUACCAGGAUGAAUAGAAUAAUCCAAGUCAUGGGCCUCCUUCAAAAUAGUCUCAUGAAGGCUAUCAAUCUUAGGAAUACAUAUCCUGUCCUUGAACCAUAUGGCACCUUGCUCAUCUUCCGUAAAUUCUGGACCUCGACCUUCAGUAAUCAGAUCCUUAAUCUCUUGUAUCUUAGCAUCACCAAUCUGUCCUUUGUGGAUUUCUUGUUCCAAGGUAGAUUCCACAUCAAUAGUAACUCCUUCAGUGUGAGCAACUAUCCCCAGGUUAAGUCUCCUAAAAUCCUCAACAAUCUCAUCGGGUAGCUGGGCAACAACAGCUGAAUGAACGUGCUCCUUUCGACUCAAGGCAUCUGCAACCAAAUUUGCUUUGCCCGGGUGAUAGUGAAUCUCCAAAUCAUAAUCCUUAAUAAGCUCCAACCAACGGCGUUGCCUAAGGUUGAGGUCCUUCUGAGUGGAUAUGUAAUUCAAACUCUUAUGAUCCAUGUAUACUUGGCACUUCUCGUCCCACUUAAACUCUCUUCCUUUCUCCAGAAGUGAGGUCAUAUGCUUAGCAAUCUUAGAAAAUCCUUCCAUAAAUCUCCGAUAAUAUCUUGCAAGCCCCAAGAAACUCUGAAUAUCCGUAACUGUAGUGGGUAUGCUCCACGCCACUAUCUCCUUGACUUUAGCAGGAUCCACUGCUAUUCCUUCAUUAGAAAUAAUAUGUCCAAGGGAUGGCACAUUGCCAAUCCAAAACUCGCAUUUGCUAUACUUGGCGUAGAGUUGAUUAUCUCGUAGCUUCUGUAGCUCCAAUCUCAGAUGUUCCCCAUGAUCGCUUUCACUCUUAGAAUAGAUAAGAAUAUCGUCCAUAAAUACUACGACGAAUCUGUCCAAAUACUCCAUAAACACCUUAUUCAUCAAAUCCAUAAAAUAAGCUGGUGCAUUAGCUAAUCCAAACGACAUAACAGAGAACUCAUAUAAUCCAUAUCGGGUUGAGAAAGUUGUCUUAAGAAUAUCCGAUGACCUAAUCUUCAUUUGGUGAUAACCUGAUCGGAGAUCAAUCUUCGAGAAUACCCUGGCACCUCUCAUCUGAUCAAACAAAUCCUCAAUAUGGGGUAAUGGAUACAUGUUCUUCACCGUGACAUCAUUAAGUGAUCUAUAAUCCACACACAUCCGCUGCGAUCCAUCCUUCUUCUGUACAAAUAACACCGGUGCUCCCCAAGGUGAGGAACUCAGACGAAUAUUCUCAGCCUCCUGUAAUUCCGUUAAUUGCUUCUUAAGUUCCUUUAGCUCUUCUACGGACAUCAUGUAUGGCUGUUUUAGAAUUAGGAGCAGUCUCAGGUAAGAGAUCAAUGACCAACUCAACUUCAAAUCUUUGUCCUUUGGAACUGGUGAGUUCUACGGUUCCCUUAGCACAGUGUAUAAAGUGCCUUUGCCUUUCUUAACCAUGACAUACCAAGGAUCACGUCUAUAGUGCUCUCUUCUAACACUAUAGGGAUAGUCCAUCCGGGUUAGAAACACAGGGUAAGAAAGGAAGAAUUGUAGACAAGGCGAGUAAUUAUAAGGAAUGUUACUACGGGGGAUUUAUUAGCUAAGUAGAUUAGUCUGUUAUCCACUAAAGCUGAUACAUUACCUUAUGGUGGUACAUGCUAAGAUGCCCAACUAUAAUGUUUCAAUCAAUCAAAGAAGCAAAUCAAGCAUUGAUCAUCAGAACAAUCAACCAACGUUUUUAAAUAUAGAAAAUAGUUUUGAUUUUUGUCUUAGGCUUCCUAUCUCUUAAAAAUGUCACAGAGGUAGGGAUUCCAAGGUGUGAAAUCCGUCUUGUCUUAGAGUAGAAAAGGUAAGAAUGAUCAGAGUAGAACAGUAGAAGGUGAGAUAGGAUCAAGGUAAGUGUAGAAAAAAUCAGAGUGAGGUAAGUGUAGAAUGAAUCAGAAUAAGAUAAGUAGGUAAGGGUUUUGUCCAUUUCUAUCUAGGUUUCGUCCUACAAUCAACAUUUCCUCUGAUACCACUUCUGUAACACCCGGUUUUAAGGAACAAAGCCGGGUGCAUCUCAUACAUGCGCCAAGAAGACAACAUAUAUAAUAACAGAGUGUAUAGAGAUAAAUGUCAUAAAACAUCAGAGUAUUUAUUACAUAGCGGAAGACUUAUUACAAAAUAAAGAUAAAUAUAAAACGAACUAAGGAUCGUCGGCGCCAAUGUCGACUGAGAAACGCCACCUAGAUCAGAUCAAACUCCUCGAUACUUGACUCUACUUGAACCACCUGUUCUUCUCCUGUGGGGGGGGUGUGAGACAGCAAGAGUGAGCUCACAUACGUUCAUAGCUCAACAAGUCGUGGGGAAUAAUGUGGCAUGAACUCACCAAAGGUGGCAGUUCAUGAAGUGUAAGGCUGAUCAAUGGAAUAAAGGCUGAGGCUGAGCAUUGCUUUUAUAAGUUGGUCAAAUUUUUAUUAGCAGUUACUAAGUGUAAGUAAAUACCAAACCUUAAUAAUAAUAAAGAACAGUAAUAGUAAAAUAAUCCCAAAUGCGAUGCAGAUGUCAAAUUAGAUUUAAGUUCCAUAAUUAAUCAUGUGAGGGUCCGAGCCGCUCAUGACCGUGAGCACGGCUAGUAUACCAGUUUUACACUCUGCAGAGGUUGCGCAUCUUUACCCACAAGUCAUGUUACCCAUCUGCCAAGAGAUGGCCAAUCCCAUACACCUCUACCGAGGAGGCGAGGCAGGGUAACACUACGAGACCUUUACAAAGUUCCACUAGCUUCAGAAAUCCCGCAACAGUUUAUAGGAAGCUCCAGUGCAGGGUUCUUGCCUGACCGCCAUCGCAGCAAAAUCAACCAAGGACCUCCCUACACUGACCACUCCCCUACUGCCCUUGCCCCUUUCGGGUAAGGAAGACCUCCACUAGCUUUCCUAGUUAAUCAGCCAAGGGCGUCCCAUUAUACCCUUGUGGUAGCACUGUUUUCCUGGGUGGUCGCUCCAUGUUCCCAUUAAUUUAAUGAUCUUAACAUGAACAGUAAUAAUAACAAGAUAAUAACAGGAUAAUCAUGUGUAGUAUAACUCCAUACCCAAUCCACAUAAAGCAAUAGCAAGUACUACCCAAAAAUAUUUCAGGGGUGAACAAGGUAUAGAGGUAAUCAAAACUGGGGUAACAUAAAGGCUCCCAUCAAAAUUAACCUAUGCAGAUCAUUAAAAUUAAUAAGAACAUGGCUGGGAAAAGUAAGUGAUCAAGGGCACAACUUGCCUGGCACUUGAGAUUCCAGUUACCAACUUGCUUUUCACAUGACACGUGCCUCGCGCUAGUCAUAGCAAUACAAACAAACAUGGUAUAGAUAAAAUUAACAUCACACCAAACAUAAGUACAAACUGAAUAAUAAUGAUCUUCGCGUUUCUAUGAGACUAACGCAACUUGAACGGAUCAAAUCGGAGUUAAAACGAAGGAGUUAUGAAUUUCUAAUGAUUUUAUGUGUUUUGUACAAGAUUAGAUUAGAAAAUAGAUUUUAAAGUGGCUUUCAUGUCAAAUCAGAGGUACUAUGUGAUAAACAAUAAUAUUAUAGAAUUAUAGAAAUUGGAACGGGCUCAUUUGGACUUAAUAUGAAUUUUCUAUGGAUUUAACAAGAUUUUGGAAUUGUUUUUAUAUAAGAAAUUCAUUUUAUAACUCAUUUUCUCUGAUUUCCCAUUUCCCUGGACUGCUCCUCAAAUAACAGUUAAGACAAGGACCCCUGCGCAAGAAUUUUCGUGACUCAGUGCCCACAGCGCAGGACUGCGGGUUGAUUUGUGAUUUCUUCGGGGUCUCUUUAGAAAAAUUGACCUGCGAAGGGGUAUGGGAUGGAUCUGGCCGUUGGAUGAGGAAGGAAUGGCUCCGAUUAGAUCUAGGUUUUCCAUACUGGAACUGAAUCUCAGCCGUCUGGUCAAAAUCCCACGGUUGAAGAUUCCCCAAACUAGCGCUGUACUGCCCGUCGUUCGAUCCAGAUGGACGGCUACGAUCAAAUCAAACGGAAGGGGACGCGCACUUUCUAAUCUCGUACGUUGAACUAGGAUCCAACGACCCACGCGAAAUCCCAGCCCAAUCCGUAGAGCGCGGCGGCGCCGCCACCGCCCAUGGUGGCGAGUUCACCGGAAUCUCCCGGAACCACGCAUGGGCGCCCUAGAACUAAGGAUUUCCAUCGCACGGGCAACCCCAAGCCACCACGGACAUAAUGAAGGCAGUCACAUCGCGGAUAAUACCCCGGCAUGCCCUGCCCCCGACCCAACGCGGCACCGCGGCGGAGCAUAGAUUCCGGUGAGUAAUUCCAGGGGUUCUUGUAAGCUAACUUCAAUUCAAGUUGGUGCAACACGAUGGGGGUAUGAAGUACAAGCGAGGGAUAGGAUGUUUACCACGGUUUUCGCUGCACCAAGCUUUGGCCACGGUGAGGUGUGGCCACGGUGGCUGCCCAACCCGGUGAGGAAUCCUCGGUUGAUUCGAGCUUCGCUUUAUGCCGCGGCGAUGCCUAUUUUGUCCACGAGGAUGCCACGAAAGUGGUAGGGCAGUCGCACGCCCCCAAUUUGCCACGUCGGUGAAGAACGGCUGCAACAGAACUCCCUUUCUCCCACCCCCUUACGGCAAUGGCGCGCCCGACCCUCGGAUCGCGAGUGUGGCGAGUAUGGUGGGGAGUUCGCGGGUGGAUGAGAGGGGCAAGGAGGGGCGGCUCAAAUACCCACGGACGUGGCCCCGUAAGCAGUUUUCCCCUCCCGAUCCAUCAGCGCGAAGAUCCCGGCGAGGUUGUUAGCAGCGCGCGCGAGCUGACCGCGGAGGGGAUAACCCUGACACCAGGGCCCCACAUGGAAGUCACCCGGCGUGCGUGGGGAUGAAAAGGAGGCCGACCAGGCGGCCCACAGGUCAGCCGGUUGGCACGAGGUUAAGGGGAAAUGGGCCAAAUGUGCAGACUGAGGCCCAAAUAGGUAUUCUUUCUUUUAUCUUUUCUUUUCUUCCCUUUUCUUUCUUAUUUUUGAAUCUAAGUUUGAAUUUCAAAUUUGUGAUGAACUUGUACUCAAAUUUUCUGAGUAUUUGAUUUGGAUAAAUCAUUGUGGAAUAAAUUUGUCUAUUUAUAAGUUUUAUUUUUGUAUUGCAUAGUAUUUUUCUUUCUUUCUUUCCAAAUUUUAGAAUUUCUUUUAGGAUUUAAUUUCCCAUUUGGAUAUUUAACAUUUUUCACAUUAUUAUAUGUUGUCACAAAAUGCACACAGAAUAAAAUCGAGCAUGAUGCAUAAUUUGGUAGUAUAUGUUUGUAUUAACUGUUUUUGGGCAUGAUGUUCACAUAAGAUGAUGCAUAAAGAUCAAACUCACAUAAAGAGAAAUUGUUCCUCUACUGGUAUUAUUCCUAGCAAUUACAAAGUGGGUGUUACAAACUCCGAGCAAAUGGACGACGCCGGCACGCUCGCGAAAGGCUUGCUGGACGUCACCCUCGUACCUGAGACGACGGUGCAGUCAAUCCCCGACGUGACUUCAUCACCGCCUGUCGACCAAGAGGUACCGACCGAUUCCCAUCCCACGCCUUUCGGAUUCAGCCUCGACCCGCCUAGCGGCUUCGCUUUGGCGGACGCUCUCGUAGAGGCGAGUCCGAACCCUCUGGGGUUUCGUAUGCAGUCACCUUGGGACCGGCUGACGGACGUCUCGACCUACGGGCCCUCUGGGUCCGAGGAAGAUGACGAGCCCAGCUUAUGUUGGGAUUUCUCUAGACUUGGCAACCCCAGUGCCAUGCAGGACUUCAUGACCGCAUGCGACUACUGCCUUUCUGACUGUUCCGACGGUAGCCGCAGCCUCGGCGACGAGGACUGCGGCCCAAGCCGCGAAUGUUUCCACGUCGAUCUAGGGGGUCCCUCCGAAGGCAACCAUCUCGGCAUGCCGGAGGACGGUGACCUCCCUAGGCCGGUGCCUCGCGUUGACAUCCCACGAGAGCUAGCUGUGGUCCCCGUUCAGGCGGGGGGCCAUGACCCACAGCUCGAGCAAAUCCGCGGGGUGCAGGCUAGGCUCGACGAGGGAGCAGGAGCGCUUGAGCCGAUCCGCCGGGACGUCGGGCAGGAAUGGGCGGGCCAGCCUCCGGCUGGAGAAAUACGUCAUCUACCCCAGGGCUUCCAGCACCGCAUCGCCGACGAUGUCAGGGUCAGGCCGCCACCCGCAUCUUGUGGGGUUGGCCAGAACCUGGCUGCAGCAGCAAUGCUCCUCUGCGCGAUGCCGGAGCCAUCAACCACCGAGGGGCGGCGAAUCUAGGGAGAGCUCAAGAAUCUCCUGGAAGGCGCCGUGGUCCGACGGGCCGAGAGCUCCGCCUCCCGAAGGCAGGGGUACCCCUCGGAACCUCAUACCGUGACUUCCCGAUUCAUGUGGGAAGCCUCGGUCUACACCGGGCGCACGCGCAACACAGCGCCUGCGGCCUCGGGUCGCCUCGGCAAUGAGCACCAUCCCCGCGACCGUCGGGCCCACCUCGACGAGAGGGUGCGCCGAGGCUACCACCCCAGGCGUGGGGGACGCUACGACAGCGGGGAGGAUCGGAGUCCCUCGCCCGAACCACGCGGUCCGCAGGCCUUCAGCCGGGCCAUACGACGGGCGCCGUUCCCGACCCAGUUCUGACCCCCGACUACUAUCACAAAGUACUCAGGGGAGACGAGACCAGAACUGUGGCUCGCGGACUACCGUCUGGCCUGCCAACUGGGUGGAACGGACGAUGACAACCUCAUCAUCCGCAACCUCCCCCUGUUUCUCUCCGACACCGCCCGCGCCUGGUUGGAGCACCUGCCUCCGGGGCAGAUCUCCAACUGGGAUGACCUAGUCCAAGCUUUCGCCGGCAAUUUCCAGGGCACGUACGUGCGCCCCGGGAAUUCCUGGGACCUCCGAAGCUGCCGACAGCAGUCGGGAGAGUCUCUCCGGGACUACAUCCGGCGAUUCUCGAAGCAGCGCACCGAGCUGCCCAACAUCACCGACUCGGAUGUCAUCGGCGCGUUCCUCGCUGGCACCACCUGCCGCGACCUGGUGAGCAAGCUGGGUCGCAAGACGCCCACCAGGGCGAGCGAGCUGAUGGACAUCGCCACCAAGUUCGCCUCCGGCCAGGAGGCGGUCGAGGCUAUCUUCCGGAAGGACAAGCAGUCCCAGGGCCGCCCAUCGGAAGAUGCCCCCGAGGCGUCAACUCAGCGUGGCGCCAAGAAGAAGGGCAAGAAGAAGUCGCAAGCGAAACGCGACGCCGCCGACGUGGACCUUGUCGCCGCCGCCGAGUACAAGAACCCUCGGAAACCCCUCGGAGGCGCCAACCUCUUCGACAAGAUGCUCAAGGAGUCGUGCCCCUAUCACCAGGGGCCCGUCAAGCACACCCUUGAGGAGUGUGUCAUGCUUCGGCGCCACUUCCACAGGGCCGGGCCACCCGCGGAGGGUGGCAGGGCCUGCGACGAUGACAAGAAGGAAGAUCACCAGGCAGGAGAGUUCCCCGAGGUCCGCGACUGCUUCAUGAUCUACGGUGGGCAAGCGGCAAACGCCUCGGCUCGGCACCGCAAGCAAGAGCGCUGGGAGGUCUGUUCGGUGAAGGUGGCGGCGCCAGUCUACCUAGACUGGUCCGACAAGCCCAUCACCUUCGACCAAGCCGACCACCCCGACCAUGUGCCGAGCCCGGGGAAAUACCCGCUCGUCGUCGAACCCAUCAUCGGUGACGUCAGGCUCACCAAGGUCCUCAUGGACGGAGGCAGCAGCCUCAACAUCAUCUACGCCGAGACCCUCGGGCUCCUGCGUGUCGAUCUGUCCUCGGUCCGGGCAGGCGCUGCGCCUUUCCAUGGGAUCAUCCCCGGGAAGCGCGUCCAGCCCCUCGGACAACUCGACCUUCCCGUCUGCUUCGGAACACCCUCCAACUUCCGAAGGGAGACCCUGACGUUCGAGGUGGUCGGGUUCCGAGGAACCUACCACACGGUACUGGGAAGGCCAUGCUACGCGAAGUUCAUGGCCGUCCCCAACUACAGCUACCUGAAGCUCAAGAUGCCGGGCCCCAACGGGGUCAUCACCGUCGGCCCCACGUACAAACACGCGUUCGAAUGCGACGUGGAGUGCGUGGAGUACGCCGAGGCCCUCGCCGAGUCCGAGGCCCUCAUCGCCGACGUGGAGAGCCUCUCUAAGGAGGUGCCAGACGUAAAGCGUCAUGCCGACAACUUUGAGCCCGCGGAGACGGUUAAGUCCGUCCCCCUCGACCUCAACGGCAACGCCUCCAAGCAGAUCCGGAUCGGCUUCGAGCUCGGUCCCAAAUAGGAAGCAGUGCUCGUCGACUUUCUCCGCGCGAACGCCGACGUCUUCGCGUGGAGUCCCUCGGACAUGCCCGGCAUACCGAGGGAUGUCGCCGAGCACUCGCUGGACAUCCGAGCCGGAGCCCGACCCGUCAAGCAGCCUCUGCGCCGAUUCGACGAAGAAAAGCGCAGAGCCAUAGGCGAGGAGAUCCACAAGCUAAUGGCGGCAGGGUUCAUCAAAGAGGUAUUCCAUCCUGAAUGGCUUGCCAACCCUGUGCUUGUGAGAAAGAAAGGUGGGAAAUGGCGGAUGUGUGUAGACUACACUGGUCUGAACAAAGCAUGUCCGAAGGUUCCCUACCCUCUGCCUCGCAUCGAUCCAAUCGUGGAUUCCACUGCUGGGUGCGAAACCCUGUCUUUCCUCGAUGCCUACUCAGGGUAUCACCAAAUCAGGAUGAAGGAGUCCGACCAGCUCGUGACUUCUUUCAUCACGCCCUUCGGCAUGCACUGCGGGCGCGACGUACCAGCGGUGCAUGAAUCAUGUGUUUGGCCAACACAUUGGCCGCACGGUCGAGGCCUACGUCGAUGACAUCAUAGUCAAGACGAGGAAAGCCUCCGACCUCCUUUCCGACCUUGAAGUGACAUUCCGAUGUCUCAAGGCAAAAGGCGUCAAGCUCAAUCCCGAAAAGUGUGUCUUCGGGGUGCCCCGAGGCAUGCUCUUGGGGUUUAUCGUCUCCGAGCAAGGCAUUGAAGCCAACCCAGAGAAUAUCGCAGCCAUCACCAGCAUGGGGCCCAUCAAGGACUUGAAAGGCGUACAGAGGGUCAUAGGAUGUCUUGCGGCUCUGAGCCGCUUCAUCUCACGCCUCGGCGAAAGAGGCCUGCCUCUGUACCGCCUCCUAAGGAAAGCCGAGUGCUUCACUUGGACCCCUGAGGCCGAGGAAGCCCUCGGGAACCUAAAGGCGCUCCUCACGAAGGCGCCUAUCUUGGUGCCCCCGGCUGCCGGAGAAGCCCUCUUGAUCUACGUCGCCGCGACCACCCAGGUGGUUAGCGCCGCGAUUGUGGUCGAGAGGCAAGAAGAGGGGCAUGCAUUGCCCGUUCAGAGGCCAGUCUACUUCGUCAGCGAGGUACUGUCCGAAACCAAGGUUCGCUACCCACAAGUUCAGAAGCUGCUGUAUGCGGUGAUCCUGACACGACGGAAGUUGCGACACUACUUCGAGUCUCAUCCGGUAACUGUGGUGUCAUCUUUCCCCUUGGGGAGAUCAUCCAGUGUCGGGAGGCCUCGGGUAGGAUUGCAAAGUGGGCGGUGGAAAUCAUAGGCGAGACAAUCUCGUUCGCCCCUCGGAAGGCCAUCAAGUCCCAGGUCUUGGCGGACUUCAUAGCUGAAUGGGUCGACACUCAGCUCCCCACAGCUCCGAUCCAGCCGGAGCUCUGGACCAUGUUCUUCGACGGGUCGCUGAUGAAGAUAGGAGCCGGCACGGGCCUACUCUUCAUCUCGCCCCUCGGGAGGCACAUACGCUAUGUGCUACGCCUCCAUUUCCCGGCGUCCAACAAUGUGGCCGAGUAUGAGGCUCUAGUCAACGGGUUGCGGAUCGCCAUCGAGCUAGGGGUCCGACGCCUCGACGCUCGCGGUGACUCGCAGCUCGUCAUCGACCAAGUCAUGAAGAACUCCCACUGCCGCGACCCGAUGAUGGAGGCCUAUUGCGAUGAGGUUCGGCGCCUGGAAGACAAGUUCUACGGGCUCGAGCUCAACCACAUCGCCCGGCUCUACAACGAGACUACGGACGAGCUGGCUAAAAUAGCCUCGGGGCGGACAACAGUUCCCCCGGACGUCUUCUCCCGAGACCUGCAUCAACCCUCCGUCAAGAUCGACGACACGCCCGAGCCCGAGACACACUCGGUUCAGCCCGAGGUACCCUCGGCUCAGUCCGAGGCACCCUCGGCUCGGCCCGAGGCGCCCUCGGUUCAGCCCGAGGUACCCUCGGCCCCCGAGGGCGAGACGCUGCACGUCGAGGGAAAGCAAAGCGGGGUCGCGCCUGAUCAAAACUGGCAGGCCCCGUACCUGCAGUAUCUCCGCCAAGGAGAACUACCCCUCGACCGAGCCGAAGCUCGGCGGUUGGCGCGGCGCGCCAAGUCGUUCGUCUUGCUAGGAGAUGGGAGGGAGCUCUACCACCGCAGCCCCUCAGGCAUCCUCCAGCGAUGCAUCUCCAUCACCGAAGGUCAGGAACUCCUCCGAGAGAUACACUCGGGGACUUGCGGCCAUCACGCAGCACCCCGAGCCCUUGUCGGAAAUGCUUUCCGACAAGGUUUCUACUGGCCGACAGCGGUGGCCGACGCCACAAGAACUGUCCGCACCUGCGAAGGGUGUCAGUUCUACGCAAGGCAGACCCACCUGCCCGCUCAGGCUCUAUAGACGAUACCCAUCACCUGGCCUUUUGCUGUGUGGGGUCUGGACCUCGUCGGCCCCUUGCAGAAUGCACCCAGGGGCUACACGGACCUAUUGGUCGCCAUCGACAAAUUCUCCAAGUGGAUCGAGGUCCGACCCCUAAACAACAUCAGGUCCGAGCAGGCGGUGGCGUUCUUCACCAACAUCAUCCAUCGUUUCGGGGUCCCGAACUCCAUCAUCACCGACAACGGCACCCAGUUCACCGGCAGAAAGUUCCUGGACUUCUGCGAGGAUCACCACAUCCGGGUGGACUGGGCCGCCGUAGCUCAUCCCAUGACGAAUGGGCAAGUAGAGCGUGCCAACGGCAUGAUUCUACAAGGACUCAAGCCUCGGAUCUACAACGACCUCAACCAGUUCGGCAAGCGAUGGAUGAAGGAACUCCCCUCGGUGGUCUGGAGCCUGAGGACAACACCAAGCCGAGCCACGGGCUUCACGCCGUUCUUCCUAGUCUAUGGGGCCGAGGCCAUCUUGCCCAUAGACCUGGAAUACGGUUCCCCGAGGACAAGGGCCUAUGCCGACCAAAGCAACUAAGCUAGUCGAGAAGACUCGCUGGACCAGAUGGAAGAGGCUCGGGACAGGGCCUUACUACACUCGGCGCGGUACCAGCAGUCCAUGCGACGCUACCACGCCCGAGGGGUCCGGUCCCGAGACCUCCAGGUGGGCGACCUGGUGCUUCGGCUGCGACAAGACGCCCGAGGGCGGCAUAAGCUCACGCCCCCCUGGGAGGGGCCGUUCGUAAUGCCAAAGUUCUGAAGCCCGGAACGUACAAGCUGGCCAAUAGUCAAGGCGAGGUCUACGACAACGCUUGGAACAUCCAACAGCUACGUCGCUUCUACCCUUAAGAUGUUUUCAAGUUGUUCAUAUACCUCGCUCCUACACAAAGUUUAGUCAUCAAGGAAGAGUCAACCUUGCCUCGGCAAAGUCCGACCCUCCCUCGGGGGCUAAAAGGGGGGAACCCCCUCUACGUCGAAUUUUUUUCCUCGAAAAAAGAUCUUUUCUGCCAGAAUGUCUUUCGUGCUUUUCGACUACUUCGAAAGUGGAUCCUGAGAACGACGGAGUACACAUAAGCAGCCAAGGCUGACCGAGCCGAGGGACUCCUACGCCUCCGGGAUACGGAUACCUCACUCAUCACCUUCUGUGAUAAGUAACUCAUGUUCGGAUAAGUGAUUCCACGGACCGAACAAGUCUUCACGCUCAGAAGCUCUUCUGCCGGAGCAAUUCUUCGAGCCUUCUCGACUGCGUCGGUGACAGAACCCCAUGGACGGGUAAGAGUGCGCGUAAGCGGCAAGGCCGACCGAGCCGAGGGACUCCUACGCCUCCGGGAUACGGAUACCUCACUCAUCACCUUCUGUGAGAAGCAACUCUCGCUCGCACAAACAAUUCUGUUACCGACAAAAAAGUCCAGAUACUCGAAAUAAGAGGAAAGGAGACACAACUUUACAACACGGCGAGAGUGUGUUUUGGCCUCGGCGGCCGCAGAAAACACGCGCUACAAGAUGAUCCGACCCUGCAGGCUCGGAUCUUGACGCUUGAAGGGAGCAGCAGCACCCUCGGCGUCGACAACACCUUCGGCGAGGUCCGACCUAGCCUCGGACGGCGACGCAGUCCAAGGGUCUCCGCUCUGAAGGACAACGUCAUCACCAAGCCCGGGUCAUCGCCGCCAGGGUCUUCUCCGAGAAUCUGGCUCGGGCAGGCGGCUCGAGGCCUCGGCCAGCUGUCCCCCGAGGACAUCAGCCCGACCCAAGGCCUCGGCAGGUCAAUUCCGGCGUCGGUCCCGCUAACGGACGACCCGGCCAGGCUCCGGCCGACCAGGUCUUGUUUCCGAGCCAACUCUGCUCUGUUCGCGCUGACACCGCUACCCCUGGCCUCGGCUCAUCGAAGAGCGGCCGAGGGGUUCCUUUAACUGAGCAAGAGAAGCCUCGGGCAACAAGGCUGACCGAGCCGAGGGACUCCUACGCCUCCGGGAUACGGAUACCUCACUCGUCACCUUUACACAGGGCGACUCACGCUUGGUGAAGCGGUUCAGACAACCAACAGGCGAGUCUUAGUGCUCGAAAAUGAGGAAAAGAUACAUACAUGUUCAGGCCUCGACAGCCACGAUGAACAAAAACACUGGCAUUCAAAGUGCCAUUACAAAUGGAACUCUGGUUCUGUCCCCGCGGGUAUGAACAACCUCCACAUCGGGGAGCCUGUGGGGCGACGAGCACCGGGUGACCCGCCAGCGACCUCUGCAGCAGCAGCCAUCGUCCCAGGACGGACGUGGCCGCCGGAAGGCUCUCGUUCGUGUUCCCGCUCAAGGGACGCGAACCAGUCAUCAAAGCCAAAGAGCUGGCCGCUCCAAAGCGCACCGGCAGGUCCUCGCUCCCGUCCUCGCCACGAAAGCGAGGAAGAGGGCGGAAUGUUGCACCCUAGCUGGGCAGCAACAGUUCGCCUUCCCCGGCAUGGCUGGAGGACGUCUCCUCCGCAGAGCUGGAGGAUGGUUGCCACCACCAGAAGCUGGAAGAAGAGGUGGCCAGCCAGCCCGCGCGGGAGGUAGAGCCCUAGCUCGCCUCGCUCUCCGCCCCAGCAAGGAUGAUGAACAUCCUUGAGGCUGAGGGCGGGACCAAGAUCACAGCCCGGCUUGCCUCUCCCCAUCCAGGGGUUGGAGGUCACCGUUUUGGGUGACCACCAGCGGAGGGGUGCAACCGGGCUGUAUGAUGAAAAUCCUUGAAGCCGAACGAUGGCUGAAAGGUACCAACUCCCACGGAGUUGCGUUCCUCCAACGACGAGGCGGAAAGACGGCGGGUAUCCCCCAUCCGGGGGCUUGGAAGGUGGAAAGACACGAUGCAUAAGGGAGCACGAAGACAUGGUCGCCUUCCAAGGGGGUCACCCUCCUUUUAAAGGCGACUCUCCCUACUUGCGUCCCCAGCCGUCGUGGGCUGAGUCUUCUCCAACACGCUCCAAAGUCCUCCCCUACGGCGCGGGGGCUGGAUCCCACACGUCAUGCAAGCCGGCUCGGAGCAGAAGAAGCCAAACCGCCGUGCACGGUGCGUGCAACCGCCCAGCGGUUACAAGCGGCUCUCCGCUUUUGCCCAGACCAGCGGGCGAAAGGGCGGGCAGCCAUGCAGGCGGCAUGCAACCGCGCCAAGUGGGCGCACUUAUCCGACUCCCAACAUGCCUAGCACGGAGGCCCAGGCCCACGCGUCAUGCAACCGGCGCGCCGAAUGCUUCGUGCAUGCAACUGCACCGCCACUUGCGCCACCACCGCGCCUCCUCGACUGCGGAACCAAUACCGCGACUCGAGGCGACCCAGCGCACGACCCAGCAGCGCCAGCCUGGCGCGACGGUCAAUGCGGCCAAAAAUGGGCCGGCAGUAAUGGCGGUGGCAGGCGGGCAGGAGCAGCUGUCACGUCGUCAGCCAAGCUUACGUCCAUCCAGGGGCAACGGGAGAACCCUCUCUCACGGCGUGAAGACAACGCGCCCGUGUUCCGUUCCUCGAACGGCUCGCGCACGCGCAACGGCCGCCCCGCGAACCACUCGCCCCGUCGCAUUAACUCCGCGGCGGGACAGGCGGCGCCUCUGGCAGGAGAAGCGAGCGACGCUUCGCCUUCGCCAUAAUGACCGCGUCAAAAAAGGUACGCCGCGUCGUUCGAUUUCGUAUCCUUUUCCUUUUUUCCUCUUUCUCUCUCUUGCAACAGGGACCGGGAAAGGGGGAUACCCCGAAAAGGAUCCUUCCCCAUGAAGGAACCAGGCUCCGAGCCUCCCUACUGAUCAGAGGUUCGAAGGCUGGCCCCUCGGAAGGGUUCGACAGCCGCCUCAGAUCGCGUGGGCUCUACACCCACUACUGGUCAGAGGUUCGAAGGCCGACCCCUCGGAAGGGUUCAACGACCGCCUCAGGCUACUCGGGCUCUGCGCCCACUACUGAUCAGGGGUUCGAAGGCUGGCCCCCGAAGGGUUCACAGCCGCCUCAGACAUAGAGCGAGGGAUGACCAUGGGUACGUUCGAUACAUAACCAAGGCUCGGGCUGCGCUCCCGAGGUACCCUAGGACAUUUCCGAGACCAGCGGGAACGAUCUUGUAACGGAAUCCCAUCAGAGGGAGGCAUCGAGCCCUCGGACCCCGUCGCCAGGGGACCGGGUCCGGCAGAUCACCCGUAGGUACUUUUGGGCGCGCCUCUGGGCCUCUAGCCGACCCCUAACGAAUGGGGCACAGACGUCCACUCGGAUUACCCGCCUGCAGCUCACCGGAGACACCAUGUUCGGCGCCCACCGAGGGCAACAUGGCGCUUUUCCCCCCUCCUCCUUGUGGAAAGGCGACGCAGGGGCGUAUGUAAAAAAGUCGUGUCUGUCCCUGAUCGCCCUCUCGCCUUGUGCAGAGGCUCGGGGGCUGCUCUCGCGAACCCGGCUCCGGCCGAACCGUUGACAGCGUCAACAUACCCGCCCGAGAACUUGGGACCCGACCGUACACCCGGGCUACGACCAGCUCGCAUGAGGGAACGACCAGACCAGCCGAAGCAUUAUGCGAGGCAUUAAGACCUCGGAGGAGUCAAACCACUCCUCCGAGGCCUCGGGGGCUACACCCGGCGGGUGCGCUCGCGCGCACCCACCGGAACAAAACGCAACCGAGAAAGGCUGGUCCCCUUGCAAAAAAGUGCGACGAAAGCCUCCAAGCGAGUGCUAACACUCCCUUCGAGGCUCGAGGGCUACUGUCGGGGACCAUAAUUAGGGGUACCCUCAAGGCUCCUAAUUCUCAGCUGGUAACCCCCAUCAGCAUAAAGCUGCAAAGGCCUGAUGGGUGCGACUAAGUCAGGGAUUGGUCCAUUUGAGGGACACGAUCACGCCUAGCCUCGAACAAGGGCAACCGACCUCGGAGGAUAUCCGCCUCGCCCGAGGCCCCCCUCCAGCGGCUAACGUAUUCCCGGCUCGCCCGAGGCCCUGCCUUCGCCAAGAAGCAACCCUGACCAAAUCGUCGCGCCGACCGACCAAAUCGCAGGAGCAUUCAAUGCAAAGGCGGCCUGACGCCUUUAUCCUGACGCGCGCCCUUCAGCCGACAGAGCCGAAGUGACCGCCGUCACUUCGCCGCUCCACUGACCGGCCUAACAGAAGGACAGCGCCGCCUGCGCCGCUCCGACUGUGGUGCCACUUGACAGAGUGAGGCUGACAGGCAGUCAGGCCCGGCCGCAGGCACCAUAGGAAGCUCCGCUUCGCCCGACCCAGGGCUCGGACUCGGGCUAAGUCCCGGAAGACGGCGAACUCCGCUCCACCCGACCCAGGGCUCGGACUUGGGCUCAGCCCCAGAAGACGACGAACUCCGCUCCGCCCGACCCAGGGCUCGGACUCGGGCUAAGUCCCGGAAGACGGCGAACUCCGCUCCGCCCGACCCAGGGCUCGGACUCGGGCUAAGUCCCGAAAGACGGCGAACUCCGCUCCGCCCAACCCAGGGCUCGGACUCGGGCUAAGUCCCGGAAGACGGCGAACUCCGCUCCGCCCGACCCAGGGCUCGGACUUGGGCUCAGCCCCAGAAGACGACGAACUCCGCUUCGCCCGACCCAGGGCUCGGACUUGGGCUCAGCCCCAGAAGACGACGAACUUCGCUUUGCCCGACCCCAGGGCUCGGACUCCGCCCUGGCCUCAGCCAACGGUCUCCGCCUCGCCCGACCCAGGGGCUCGGACUCGACCUCGGCCACAGAAGACGGACUCGACCUCGGCUUCGGAGGAGCUUCCACAUCGCCCAACCUAGGGCGCAGACUAGCCACGUCAACAGGAGGCGCCAUCAUCACCCUACCCCAAGCUGACUCGGGCCACGGGGAACAAGACCGGCGUCCUAUCUGGCUCGCUCCGCCAGAUAGGCAAUGAUGGCGCCCCGCAUACUCUGUGACGACGGCGGCUUUCAGCCCCCUUACGGAAGCAAGAGGACGUCAGCAAGGACUCAACAGCUCCGACAGCUGUCCCUCCGCCAGGCUCCAGCGCUCCUCCGACGGCCACGACAUCACACCAGCUGGGUGCCAAAAUCUCUCCGGCUGCCACAACGGCAUGUACUUAGGGCGCUAGCUCUCCUCCGCUAGACACGUAGCACUCUGCUACACCCCCCAUUGUACACCUGGAUCCUCUCCUUACGCCUAUAAAAGGAAGGACCAGGGCCCUUUUAGGGAGGGUUGGCCGCGCGGGGACGAGGACGAGUCAGGCGCUCGCGUGAGGCCGCUCGCUCCCUCUCCUGUGUGGACGCUUGUAACCCCCUACUGCAAGCGCACCCGACCUAGGCGCGGGACGAACACGAAGGCCGCGGGAUUUGCACCUCUCUCACGCCCAUCUCCGGCCACCUCGAUUCCCCCCUUCGCGCUCGGCCUCGCGCCGACCCAUCUGGGCUGGGGCACGCGGCGACAUUUCACUCGUCGGCUUAGGGACCCCCCGGUCUCGAAACGCCGACAGUUAUCUAUGUAUUUGUGCUGCAAUUCAUUUGGUUAUACGUUCACCUAUGCAAUUCGGUAGAGGUGCUGUCCAGAAUUUUGUUGGUGGGUGAACAGCAGUAGUAUUAUUAGUUUCUGGGGAUUUUUCGGGGGUAAUUAGUGGUAAACAUUGUGAAAAUCAUGUAAAGCUUUGUCAUAUCUUUCCAACGAGUACUUUUAUGCUCGAUUCGGAGGUAUAUUUUAGGAGAUAUCGUUGUUUGAACCCAGCUAGGUUACUGUCCAAAAACUGAAUGCAUGGUCUAUCUUGUGGGCUGUUUGGGGCCAUUUAGAUGUUAGAAUUUAAUUAUCGUUUGAAUACAAAACUUGUGGGGAAUUUUAUGUAGAUGCUUCUGGAGUUUUUGUUUGAUAUCACUGCUGUCAUAAUUUUAAAGAUAUGAAAUUGUCAAGCAGCGCCGCUGCAGUUUGGUGGGUGAUGGGGAGAAUUGUCGUUUGCGACGGGUUUGGAAUUGUGCGUAGGUGCGGCGUUGUUUAUGUGCAUUUGUUAUGUGGAUUUGUGUACUAAGAUGUAUGUCAAAAUCAGGUGGUGGACUUCCGGAUCGUACUUAAGGCUUUGUCCAAAUUCCCGGUGAAGGCAAGUAAAAUAGUGAUGGUUUAUACCAUUGGUCGAUUUAUGUGUCAUGUACUUGAUUCAUAUCC
rnacentral:lncRNA from 1 species